rnacentral:rRNA from 1 species
ACUCCUACGGGAGGCAGCAGUGGGGAAUAUUGCACAAUGGGCGCAAGCCUGAUGCAGCCAUGCCGCGUGUGUGAAGAAGGCCUUCGGGUUGUAAAGCACUUUCAGUCGUGAGGAAGGUAGUGUAGUUAAUAGCUGCAUUAUUUGUACGUUAGCGACAGAAGAAGCACCGGCUAACUCCGUGCCAGCAGCCGCGGUAAUACGGAGGGUGCGAGCGUUAAUCGGAAUUACUGGGCGUAAAGCGCAUGCAGGUGGUUUGUUAAGUCAGAUGUGAAAGCCCGGGGCUCAACCUCGGAAUAGCAUUUGAAACUGGCAGACUAGAGUACUGUAGAGGGGGGUAGAAUUUCAGGUGUAGCGGUGAAAUGCGUAGAGAUCUGAAGGAAUACCGGUGGCGAAGGCGGCCCCCUGGACAGAUACUGACACUCAGAUGCGAAAGCGUGGGGAGCAAACAGGAUUAGAUACCCUGGUAGGAUAGCG